CCAAUAGCGUAUAUUAAAGUUGUUGCAGUUAAAAAGCUCGUAGUUGAAUUUCGGGGUCAGCAGGUUGGUCGUGCCAAUGGUAUGCACUGGCCUUGCUGAUUCCUCCCUCUUGAUGAGCCGUAAUGUCAUUAAUUUGGUGUUGCGGGGAAUCAGGACUGUUACUUUGAAAAAAUUAGUGUGUUUAAAGCAGGCAAGCGCUUGAAUACAUUAGCAUGGAAUAAUGAAAUAGGACGUUUGAUCCUAUUUUGUUGGUUUCUAGGAUUGACGUAAUGAUUAAUAGGGAUAGUUGGGGGCAUUAGUAUUCAAUUGUCAGAGGUUAAAUUCUUGGAUUUAUUGAAGACUAACUACUGCGAAAGCAUUUGCCAAGGAUGUUUUCAUUAAUCAAGAACGAAAGUUAGGGGAUCGAAGACGAUCAGAUACCGUCGUAGUCUUAACCAUAAACUAUGCCGACUAGGGAUCGGAUGAUGUUAAUUUUUUAAUGACUCAUUCGGCGCCUUACG
rnacentral:rRNA from 1 species